rnacentral:tRNA from 1 species
GCUGUAGCUCAGCUGGAUAGAGCGUCGGAUUGCGGAUCCGAAGGUCGGAGGUUCAAAUCCUCUCAGC